AGGUAAAAACAAUUAAUGUAAUAACAUGUGUUAGUGACGAGAAAUAUUCGUAGUUCGCUGUUACUAGCGGCACCGAAACUGACUCGCCCGUGACUCACUCGUACAAGUCCCGCCUACAUCAACAGCAGCGGCCGAUAACGCAAUGUAAGCAAGACCGUAAGCUCAUAAAUUGGAGACCCGGUAUAAGCAAGCAAUUUUAAGUUUCUCGGUGUCAAAAGUAAGUCUUUCCUUGUGUUCGCUGCUACGUAUUUUUAAUGUCUUCACUUUUUAUUGGGAAAUGUUGGAACAUUUUGUGGGUGACAUGUUCCUGACACUGGAGUUAUCUGGAGUAUCACGCGAAGAAACAGGAAUCUAAGUGGGUCCAAGACCUGGUCCGAACAUGACGGCGAGGCGAACAGAAAAGAAUCACUGUUUCUGCCAGAAUACGAACACCGGACGUCCAAUCCGUGGGCCGUCACUUCUCUGCCUGCUAAACUCCUAUCGCCGUUCAUACUAAUGUUUGAUAGAAGUCUUGAAAACUUUUAAUUUAUUUUUAUUUUACAGAUUAAUCUUUUAGUUUAGAUUGCAUAGCUUUUACUGCGUUCCACCUGAAAACUUCCCCAACGUACAUGACGUAGGGAGUAUGGAUUAAAUUCAGCCUCCAGGGAGUUCUUUAAACAACGAAUCUGCAGGAGGAAAGACAGAAUCUGGAGUUUGAUUCGCUCUACACGUUUGUCAUUGUUUAUUGCUGUUCGCGUCCUUUAAAAUUUGGUCGCGUUUUGUCUGGAAGAACUGCUCCCUCGCUUGUAUUCUGAGCCCGUGCUGUGAGAUUUGGGGUUAGGAGCACGAUUUGAUGUAACGCAGUGAUGCAAGCUUCCAUGAUUCGACAUGAGGAGCAGCGCUGAAAUCUCGAUGAGAUCAAUUGACAUUCUAGUGAAACAGGCGGUGCAUUACAAUGACGUUAAUACAGGAACACAUGACGGAACUUUGUGAAUUUGUUUUUGUUGUGUUAUGAGGUCAAGUUUAGUGCAGUGCAUGAUGGAGACAGUAGUUAUAAAAGUGUGGAGCACGAGUCAAAUUGGGCUGGAACACUGGUUCUUCUUUAAUGGCUGGCCAGUCGGUGCCUCAAAGGCAUCGAAAUUAUUGGCGCUUUGUUGUAGAGUUUCUCAACCAGUGUGCCGCGACGCGAUCGUAAAUAUGCCACGACAUUUUAAAUUCAAGUUGGAUCUUGAUUCACAAGUGUGUUAAUAUUAGUGACCUAUUUUUUAUCCCAGAUUCGUGGUCUCAUUAGCUUGUGUCUUCAUAUCUGUGUCAAAUUGCAACUGCUUUCGUAUUUUAAUUGUUAUCCAUAUUUAUUAAAUAAUUAUUAUUUCCAGAUAAAGGGAUUUUAAGUAAGCCAAAUAAUUGUCAUACUGUUUAAUCUCCACGGUUUUGGCAAUUAUUUAUACAGAAGGCUACAAGAAUUUAAAAAAUAAUGACUUAUGAAAGAAACGGACAUUGUUCUGUAUACAGGCACACGCAACUUUAAAAUAACAUUUCGUUUGAGAUUUUGAACCGGGCACAAAACAGUAAAAGAAAUGCCGAUAGUAACCACUUAUGGCUUUCGUCCUGCGUAUUUGACCAGAAAUAUUACUAAAAUUAUUAAAAUAUGUUUUAAGAUUUUGCAUAAUUUACUUUUUAGGGCAUGAAAGAUGGAGUCGUUAUACGAUUUUUGUACGAGCACGU